ACGUCGCAUGAAGAAGACGUAGAAGAUGAAGAUGGUUCCCGUUUCGCUUAUGAGUUGAGCCUGGCCUAAGUUGGCGUUGUUUUUGGAUGUUAAGCGAAUGAGGUGAUGUCUAGGCGAGUGCGCAGUCUAGUGCUUGCUAGU